rnacentral:rRNA from 1 species
UGCAGGGGGGGCAAGCGUUGUUCGGAAUUACUGGGCGUAAAGGGCUCGUAGGUGGCCAACUAAGUCAGACGUGAAAUCCCUCAGCUUAACUGGGGAACUGCGUCUGAUACUGGAUGGCUUGAGUUUGGGAGAGGGAUGCGGAAUUCCAGGUGUAGCGGUGAAAUGCGUAGAUAUCUGGAGGAACACCGGUGGCGAAGGCGGCAUCCUGGACCAACACUGACACUGAGGAGCGAAAGCCAGGGGAGCAAACGGG